rnacentral:rRNA from 1 species
UUAACCGAGUAGAUUACUAAGAUUGCCUCAGUAAGGGCGACUGAAGCGGCAAGAGCCCAAAUUGGAAAUCGGAGCUUGCUCUGAAUUGUAAUCUAAGGGGGCCGGCUUAAUUGGAGACCUCGCAGAAGUGUCCUCGGAAGGACCGCCAGAGAGGGUGACAGCCCCGUACGUGGUGAGGUCUCUUACCUAGCCUGUUUCCAAAGAGUCGGGUUGUUUUGUAUUGCAGCCCUAAUUGGGAGAUAGACUUCUUCUAAGGCUAAAUAAGCGUAGGAAACCGAUAGCGAACAAGUACUGUGAAGGAAAGAUGAAAAGAACUUUGAAAAGAGAGUCAAAAGACUUGAAAUCGUUGAGAAGGAAGCGGUAGAAAUUUAUCUUCAAUUGAUGGCAAUGCGUGUGCCGAACCGUUUACUGUUGUUAGUACCGCAAGGGCUACGGUGGUGAUAUGGGGAAGUGCUAGUUAAGCUGGAGGUUGUGAGGCAGGAUGGGGUCACGUUUCGGCAAAGGCCUUGUGGAGCGCUUGCGUGCCAUGGGUGCCAGUCGGGAUGUGGUCUGAGGAGGCUUUGUGCGAUUCUGCCAAAAUGAUUUUUACCGACUCGUCUUGAAACACGAACCAAGGAGUCUAACGUACAUGCGAGUGUGCUGGUGGAGAAACCAACACGCGUAAUGAAGGUGAUUGAUGCCAAGCUUGCGCAGCAUCGGCCGACCACGAUCCUCUGGUGAGGGGUUUGAGCGAGAGCAUGUCCGUUAGGACCCGAAAGAUGGUGAACUAUGCCUGAGUAGGGUGAAGCCAGAGGAAACUCUGGUGGAAGCUCGUAGCGGUACUGACGUGCAAAUCGUUCGUCGAACUUGGGUAUAGGGGCGAAAGACUAAUCGAACCAUCUAGUAGCUGGUUCCCUCCGAAGUUUCCCUCAGGAUAGCUGGGACAAUAUCGCAGUUUUAUUAGGUAAAGCGAAUGAUUAGAGGCCUCGGGGGCACCUUGCCCUCGACCUAUUCUCAAACUUUAAAUUGGUAAGAACCUCGGCCUAGGCUUAAUUGAGGCUCGAGGGAUCAAUGCGUGUCCUUAGUGGGCCAUUUUUGGUAAGCAGAACUGGCGAUGAGGGAUGCUCCUAACGUCGAGAUAAGGUGCCCAACUGCACGCUCAUCAGAUACCACAAAGGGCGUUGGUUCAUUUAGACAGCUGGACGGUGGCCAUGGAAGUCGGAAUCCGCUAAGGAGUGUGUAACAACUCACCUGCCGAAUGAACUAGCCCCGAAAAUGGAUGGCGCUCCAGCGUGCGACCGAUACUCGACCAUUGUUGCGAGAGUGAGGCAGCAAUGAGUAGGAGGGCGUGAGCGUUGUUGCGAAGCCUUUGACGUGAGUCUGGGUUGAACAGCGUUUAGUGCAGAUCUUGGUGGUAGUAGCAAUUAUUCGAAUGAGAACUUUGAAGGCCGAAGUGGAGAAGGUUUCCGUGAGAACAGCAAUUGGUCACGGGUGACUCGAUCCUAAGACAUGGGGAAGCUCCCUGUUAAGUGUGCCGUCAGGCGCGUGGUCGAAAGGGAAUGAGGUUAAUAUUCCUCAAGCUGGAUGUGGAUUUAUAUGGUAACAUAAACGAGCUCAGAGACGCCAGCGUGAGCCUCUGGAAGAGUUAUCUUUUCUUUUUAACAGGCUAGCAACCUUGAAAUAGGAUUAUCCUGAGAUAAGGUUGUAUGCUUGGAAGAGCACCCCGCUUUCCGGGGUGUCAGGUGCGCUCACGAUGGUCCUUGAAAAUCUGAGUGAGAGGAUGAUUUCACGCCAGGUCGUACCCACAACCGCAUCAGGUCUCCAAGGUUA